GGGAAUUACAACAGAAAGGAACACGUUUCAGCUAAUCAAAAUCAAUGACUGGAACUGUCAGUUUCAGAGCUAUUAUUACCACACUGAUAGAUUGAUUUUGCUUUUUAUUUGCAGCCUACGUUAUGCACUGUGGAACUGCACGGAUGGACAGCUGUAGAAUCCGCAAAGGUCAAGAAGGCUUUUGUUACGAGGGCUGGAGGUUCCAAAACAUCCAUGAAGCUGGGGAUAAAAGACGCAGAUUGACCAGCCCACGCUUUCAUCCACCAUUGUACACAAUAUGGCACGCUUUGGCACAAGUUCAGUUUGUUUAUGGUGCAUUGUUUAUUAGUUCAUUUCUCCAUGUUGUAUGAUUUAUAGAUAGUCUUAAAUUGUCAUUGUACAGUUGGUCAGUACAAUGCAAUUUGCUUGUGCAGCUUUUAAAAAUAAUACUCACAUACACACUCACACACACA